UUAGGAAUUUUCCGCAAUGGGCGAAAGCCUGACGGAGCAACGCCGCGUGGACGAUGAAGACCCUUGGGUUGUAAAGUCCUGUCGGAGGGGAAGAAGAUCUGACGGUACCCUCCAAGAAAGCCCCGGCUAACUACGUGCCAGCAGCCGCGGUAAUACGUAGGGGGCAAGCGUUAUCCGGAAUUACUGGGCGUAAAGCGCGUUAAGGCGGCUGGCAAAGUUGGGGGUGAAAUUUCAGAGCUCAACUCUGAAACUGCCUCCAAUACUGGUCGGCUAGAGUGCGAGAGAGGAAGGUGGAAUUCCCGGUGUAGUAGUGAAAUGCGUAGAUAUCGGGAGGAACACCAGUGGCGAAGGCGGCCUUCUGGCUCGCAACUGACGCUGUAGCGCGAAAGCGUGGGGAGCGAACGGGAUUAGAUACCCCGGUAGUCCACGCCCUAAACGAUGUGAACUAGGUGUUGGGCGUAUUGACGCGCUCAGUGCCGCAGCUAACGCAUUAAGUUCACCGCCUGGGGAGUACGGCCGCAAGGUUAAAACUCAAAGGAA
rnacentral:rRNA from 1 species